rnacentral:rRNA from 1 species
GAUGAACGCUGGCGGCGUGCCUAAUACAUGCAAGUCGAGCGAACAGACGAGGAGCUUGCUCCUCUGACGUUAGCGGCGGACGGGUGAGUAACACGUGGAUAACCUACCUAUAAGACUGGGAUAACUUCGGGAAACCGGAGCUAAUACCGGAUAAUAUAUUGAACCGCAUGGUUCAAUAGUGAAAGACGGUGUUGCUGUCACUUAUAGAUGGAUCCGCGCCGCAUUAGCUAGUUGGUAAGGUAACGGCUUACCAAGGCAACGAUGCGUAGCCGACCUGAGAGGGUGAUCGGCCGCACUGGAACUGAGACACGGUCCAGACUCCUACGGGAGGCAGCAGUAGGGAAUCUUCCGCAAUGGGCGAAAGCCUGACGGAGCAACGCCGCGUGAGUGAUGAAGGUCUUCGGAUCGUAAAACUCUGUUAUUAGGGAAGAACAAAUGUGUAAGUAACUAUGCACGUCUUGACGGUACCUAAUCAGAAAGCCACGGCUAACUACGUG